rnacentral:rRNA from 1 species
UACGUAGGCAGCAAGCGUUGUUCGGAAUUACUGGGCGUAAAGAGUGUGUAGGCGGUGCUGUAAGUUUGGUGUGAAAUCUCCCGGCUUAACUGGGAGGGUGCGCUAAAGACUGCAGUGCUAGAGUGUGGGAGAGGAAAGCGGAAUUCCUGGUGUAGCGGUGAAAUGCGUAGAUAUCAGGAGGAACACCUGCGGUGUAGACGGCUUUCUGGACCAUAACUGACGCUGAGACACGAAAGCGUGGGUAGCAAACAGG